UAUGUGAUCGUCUCUUGCAUAUCAAUAAGCGGAGGAAAAGAAACUAACAAGGAUUCCCCUAGUAACGGCGAGUGAAGCGGGAAGAGCUCAAAUUUGAAAUCUUAAAGGGUUUCCCUUUACGAAUUGUAGUUUAAAGAAGUGUUUUCUGUUGAGGUUUUGGUAAAAGUUCUUUGGAAUAGGACAUCAUAGAGGGUGAGAAUCCCGUAUUUGACCUUUACUUUCAACUUUGUGAUACACUUUCAAAGAGUCGGAUCGUUUGGGAAUGCAGUCCAAAAUGGGUGGUAAAUUUCAUCUAUAGCUAAAUAUUGGCGAGAGACCGAUAGCGAACAAGUACCGUGAGGGAAAGAUGAAAAGAACUUUGAAAAGAGAGUUAAACAGUACGUGAAAUUGUCAAAAGGGAAGCGUUUGACACCAGUGUUGUUUUUCUGAAAAUCAAUUAAAGAACUGUUUAUGCUAAGCUGUUUAGACUUUAUCAGCUAUACUGUUUAGUUUUGAGCUUUUCUUUAAUGCACUUUUCAGUUAACAAGUCAACAUCAAUUUCUUUUGCUGUAAAAAAGCUUGAGGAUGGUGGCUUGAGAUUCGUCUUAAGUGUUUAUAGCCUCUUGCCUAUGCAGUCGGAGAGAUUGAGGUCUGCAGCGUAGAUCCUUCGGGGCUAAAUGCAUUUGUGCUAAGUUAUAGCAUUUCAUAGAUCAACUUGUUGACUAUGAUUUGUCUUGUAGCUUACUCGCUUAUGUUAUUUUACCUACGCUUAGGAUGUUGACUGAUAUGUAGUCGUA
rnacentral:rRNA from 1 species